GGGAAAAGCCUUUCCCGUGUCCGUAGCGUCGUGAUGCUUAUUGCUGUUUUCCAGUGAUGACCCUCUUGUGUGCGUAGCUUCAUUCCAAGUAGGUAUUUCAUUCGCUGAAUCUGGCCGGACGGCUGAGUCCUAAAAAUGUAUCCCCUUUCGUCAGGGACAGGUUUGCGAAUACCAACGGGGGAAAGCCUUUCCCGUGUCCGAAGCCUGGUGCUCCUUAUUGCUGUUUUCCAGUGAUGACCCCCUCAUGUGUGCAUAGUUUCAUUCUAAGUAGGUGUUUCAUUCGCUUAUUUAGUUUGGAGGCUGAGUCCAAAAAUUGUACCAUUACGGAAUCAAUUGACGAGCCGCUUUGGCUGCAGUGAACUUGUCUUCAUGAGGGCUCAAAACCUCCAUCGAUGACGACUGCUGUUUUGCCAGGAGCCAUGAACCUGAACCUGAACUCGAAGGUUGUCGUGGGCGAGUGGUCAGGGCGAUAGACUAGAAUCCAUUGGGGGUCUCCCUGCGCAAUUCCAAAUUGGUCUGUUCUUUAGAUAGGUCUCGUUUUUCCCAUCCAAUGUUUGAACAUAAGCAAGCGAUGGUGGUAUAGUGGUGAGCAUAGCUGCCUUCCAAGCAGUUGACCCGGGUUCGAUUCCCGGCCAUCGCAUGUGUUUUCCUCUGUAUCACUUACACUAUCUUAAAGUGUUUAGGUUCAAACCGCCAGUCGGUCUUUCGUCAGGGG
ensembl:lncRNA